rnacentral:lncRNA from 1 species
AUCCUACACUUCAACCAGGCAAUUUCAUAUUCAAUUAUAAAAAAAAUAAUUUCUGAGGGUUUAACAUUUUUACUGAAUUUGACAACCAAUAUUUCAAAGAAUUUUUAUACCCAAUUUACAAUAGUAGAGGGCAUAAAGUUUCCCGGUCUCUGCGUCCGUUUGUUUAUUUAUAGGUCCAUUCAGUCGUCCAUCUGUCUUAGUACACAUUUUCCCUAUGAAAUGAUCUUUCUAGUUUUAAUCUAUUAAUUAGAGUUUUGACCCAAAUUUCAGGUUCCACUGAACAUAAGAUAAGCCCA